rnacentral:lncRNA from 1 species
CCCCUUGGCUAGUAGAAAAUUUUAAUUUCAAAUGGUAGGUCGAUAUCACAGCUUGGAGGGCGUUGAGGCCAGGUCGGCCGACUAUUGCGUUGUAGGCCGACGGUGCCCUUACUACCAGAAAAUCCACCUGUGCUCUAGAUUAUUUCGGGUACUGACCUGCAAUUACAGUCAAAGUUAUUACUCCUUUUACUGACACAGCAUCGCCAGUGAACCCUACCAACGGAGAGCUUAUCGGCCCUAAUCGACCAUCC